CACACGGCGGGCGGUUCCCGCGCCUCGCCUCACGGCCUCGCCGCUCUCUCCGCGCCGCCGGGCAGCGGGCGCCGUUGGCACAGUUACCCGCUAGCGCGGUGGCUGGCUUUGGCACCAUGCUAAGCAGCUCCACGGCGCCGAUCCGCACCUGAGCCGCCUCAGCAGCGACGAGCGCCGGUGCCUGCCAUGGGCGCGGGGGUAGCGCCGCGGCCCUACCUUGCUGGUCGAAAUCCCUGAGGAAGAGCGCGAUGCGCUGAUCCUUCUUCUCCUGGGAGAGGGCCCCGCGGUCGGACUCCACUCCCGAGUCAGUGCUGCGCCGCUUGCUCGCGGGCUUCUUCAGGGGCAUGGCUGCCACCCAGCAGGACAGCCGGCCGCUCCUCGCCCGGGAAGCUUUUUAACUGCUGCUGACCUCGGCCUAUGAGGAGCAGACGAUGGCUUCCAUACUGGGGAGCAACUGAAACAGAUGCUUACCUAAACUGUUUCCUCCACAACCCUGCAAGAUCCGUCUGGCUCGUUUUUUGGCAUCUUCUGGAAAACUUGGACUGUCCAACAGGUUUGGGUGCAGCAAACUGAGUUCAUGACUAAACUACUGAUGCAACAUAAAAAUUCAGUCCCAUUGGGCCCGGAGCCAGCUUCACUGAUGUGCUCAAGCUACCCACGUAAAAGCAUAAACAGGCCCGUUCUUUAAUAUUUGUUGGCAGCUGUACUUUAAAUAUAAAUCUUCAAAAAUAUUUUUUGUUGUUGAGACUGAGC